rnacentral:rRNA from 1 species
UACGGGAGGCAGCAGUGGGGAAUAUUGGACAAUGGGCGAAAGCCUGAUCCAGCAACGCCGCGUGAGGGAAGACGGCCUUCGGGUUGUAAACCUCUUUCAGUAGGGACGAAGCGAAAGUGACGGUACCUCCAGAAGAAACACCGGCCAAAUUCGUUCCAGCAGCCGCGGUAAUAAGUAGGGUGCCAGCGUUGUCCGGAAUUAUUGGGGGUAAAAGGCUGGUAGGCGGUUUGUCUAAUUGGGAGUGAAAACUCCGGGGUUAACCCCGAGCCUGCUUUCGAUACGGGCAGACUAGAGGUAUGCAGGGGAGAAGGGAAUUCCUGGUGUAGCGGUGAAAUGGGCAGAUAUCAGGAGGAACACCGGUGGGGAAGGCGGUUCUCUGGGCAUUACCUGACGCUGAGGAGCGAAAAUGUGGGGAGCGAACAGGAUUAGAUACCCUGGUAGUCCACACCGUAAACGUUGGGCGCUAGGUGUGGGACUCAUUCCACGAGUUCCGUGCCGCAAGCUAACGCAUAAGCGCUCCGC